UAAAGAGUUUAGACCUUCAGAAAAAAACAAAAAAAAAAAAGUUUAGAUCUUCAGACCCAAGAAAGAUGUAUGUGGUGAUUCGUUUAAUAACAUUGAUGAUUCUCCUGUUCUUUGCAUCAUCAAACACAGUCUCCGCUCGAUUACAAUACGUUCACAAAUCUCUCAGUACAACAGAAAGGGUUUGGGAUCGUCAACAAGUCCUCUUCGAGAUCAAGGGUAGUGUGAGCCCAAGUGUUUCACGACCUGCAGGCCAAGGAGGAGGUCCACCAUAGAGACAAUAGUUAAUUGGUAUAAGUAUGACGACUAAUGAGAUUUUUUAUAUAUGUCAACUCACUCUUUAAGGGGGUUUUAACUCAUCUUGUAAGUUGUAACGCUAUACUGUCAUCAUCAAAUCUUCCUUUUAAUUUUUGGUUAUAUGCAAAUAGUUUUUGUUUUUACUGAAUAAAUAUUUUAAUUUUAAUU